rnacentral:rRNA from 1 species
GAUGAACGCUGGCGGCGUGCCUAAUACAUGCAAGUCGAGCGAAUGGAUUAAGAGCUUGCUCUUAUGAAGUUAGCGGCGGACGGGUGAGUAACACGUGGGUAACCUGCCCAUAAGACUGGGAUAACUCCGGGAAACCGGGGCUAAUACCGGAUAACAUUUUGAACCGCAUGGUUCGAAAUUGAAAGGCGGCUUCGGCUGUCACUUAUGGAUGGACCCGCGUCGCAUUAGCUAGUUGGGGAGGUAACGGCUCACCAAGGCAACGAUGCGUAGCCGACCUGAGAAGGUGAUCGGCCACACUGGGACUGAGACACGGCCCAGACUCCUACGGGAGGCAGCAGUAGGGAAUCUUCCGCAAUGGACGAAAGUCUGACGGAGCAACGCCGCGUGAGUGAUGAAGGCUUUCGGGUCGUAAAACUCUGUUGUUAGGGAAGAACAAGUGCUAGUUGAAUAAGCUGGCACCUUGACGGUACCUAACCAGAAAGCCACGGCUAACUACGUGCCAGCAGCCGCAGUAA